AUGUUCAGAAGCAAAAGCAGGUGGCGAGCAUUCGCAAGAUCAAUUGCAGACAGCUACUCCUUAAUUUGUGGCUGCGGCCUUCUACUUGGGGGACUUGGUAGCGGCGGCCGUCUUCUUGGGGGACUUGGUAGCGGCGGCCGUCUUCUUGGGGGACUUGGUAGCGGCGGCCGUCUUCUUGGGGGACUUCUCUGCGGCGCCGGCGGCCUUCUUCUUGGGGAGCAGCGCGGAGUUGAUGUAGGGCACCACGCCGCCGUGGGCGAUGGUGACGCCGGCGAGCAGCCGGCUGAUCUCCGGGUCGCCCUGGACGGCUAUCAUCAGGUGGCGCGGGAUGAUGCGCGCCUUCUUGCUUUCCUUGGCCGCGUCGCCGGCGAGCUCCAGGACCUGCGAUUCAAACAUGAACGAAAUCGGUCAUCUGUCCAACACAAGAGGAACAGGACCGGGCAAAAAAGGCAGAUAUAUGCUCGAGGAGGAGGCAGAUCCGUUCAGAUGUCGAACAAAAUCGGCAGUUAA
rnacentral:rRNA from 1 species